rnacentral:rRNA from 1 species
GACGAACGCUGGCGGCGUGCUUAACACAUGCAAGUCGAACGGUAAGGCCCUUCGGGGUACACGAGUGGCGAACGGGUGAGUAACACGUGGGUGAUCUGCCCUGCACUUCGGGAUAAGCCUGGGAAACUGGGUCUAAUACCGGAUAGGACCCUGGGAUGCAUGUCCUGGGGUGGAAAGCUUUUGCGGUGUGGGAUGGGCCCGCGGCCUAUCAGCUUGUUGGUGGGGUGAUGGCCUACCAAGGCGACAACGGGUAGCCGGCCUGAGAGGGUGACGUGCCACACUGGGCCUGACAUACGGCCCAGACUCCUACGGGAGGCAGCAGUGGGGAAUAUUGCACAAUGGGCGCAAGCCUGAUGCAGCGACGCCGCGUGAGGGAUGACGGCCUUCGGGUUGUAAACCUCUUUCAGCACCGACGAAGCGCAAGUGACGGUAGGUGCAGAAGAAGGACCGGCCAACUACGUGCCAGCCGCCGCCGUAA